AACAAGCUCAAGAUAGCCCCCAGGAGGAACUCCACUGUAGCUUGAAACAAGAGGCUGGGCUUGCAUCGUCAGAAAAACCAAUUUCUUCACAGAAAUAGGUGAAGGUGAUCAACACAGCAACAUCAUUUUGAGGGGAAUUCAGAGGAUUAGGCUUCUGGAAAUGUAAAUCAGAAAUGAGAAGGCAAGGACUGACCAGUAUUGAUUAUGCAAGCCACUCCAGGAGCCAUUUUAACUGACAAGUCAACUUGAUGUGAGAUGCGGAGACAGCUCUGAAAUCUGCCAAAGAACCACCCAACCAAAUCCCAGAAACUAGGAUGCCAACAAAAGCCUUGUGUGUUGAUAGCAGAGAAGGGAGGAUGGGAGGAGGAACAAGGAAAGUUGAGAUAUAAAAAGGACUUCACUCUUCACUUUGAAAACUGUGAAAAGACAGGCAGAGCAGGGGAGGCAAAUAAAGGGGAGAUUUAUUUUUCACUUUAUCAAGUCUUGGUUGCCUUACGAAUGUUGUUAUGUUGUAG